ensembl:lncRNA
CCAGUGAAUUAGAUCAUCCAAGGCUCUAAAUGAAACCUAGCAAUCCCUCUCUUUGUCAGAGCUGGAGAGCACACCACACAGGGUCCCAGCUGGGUCUGCCCUGGAUCUGAUGCUAUUCUAUAUUUCAUUAACAACUUGGAUGGCAGAAUAGAGAGUAUACUUUGGAUGACACCAAACUGUGAGAGACUCUAAAUCAGCAGUAACUUGACUGAAAAAAUGACUUCUGGUUAUUCAAGAAGAAAAUCACUCCAGUUUGCAAUCCAAGUCCAGGGAAGAGCACACAGACCAGAGUUUGUGCUCCAGGAAAAGAGGUUGGACAACGGCUUUCCAUCAUUAAGCUUUUCCCCCAAGUUCCUUUGAUACCUUUCAUGCAGAGCAGCCAGGAGAUGCAGCAGCUCCCUCACCCUGACACCUCUGCAUAAUUCUCGCCUCCAAAAUUUCCUCCAACAGAAAAUCCAAGUGCUCAGCCCUCCCAGCCCAGCACAUAUGCUGCUGUAACUGUUUCCAGCCUGUUUCUGCAACAGGAGGGACAAGAACAUGAAAUCUGACCACCAAGUGCCUCAGAAGGGUUUGGACUGGUCCAGGCUUCAAACUGCUUACUGUAGGAACAAGGAGGACAACAACCAUAGAUCUACAUUUGUUGUCCACAGGAGAGAAAAUGUUGCACCACUUGCUCCAAGGCACAGCUCGUGCAUGCAAUGAAAAAGCUAUGCUCCCUUCAGCAAGAAACCUCCUAGGAAAGCACAAAGCCCUACCAGCUCAUGUUUCAGGAGGCCAGACGAACAAAAGGCUUAGCAGAGGUAAUUACCUGGAGCUUUGGCAGAGUGGGGCCGUGCUUGCUUGCACACAGGCACUGUGCAGCCCUGCCUGCUCUCAGCGCCCAGCUCAGCGUGGCUUUGAAAUUGCAAUGUGCUUCAGCUGGACUGGCUUUGGGGGAAGGAAGGCUCAGUCAACACCGCAGCGCACGUGGCUGGGAAAGCUUUUUCUAUGGUGGUUGGUUUGGUCCUAAUUUGUCAGUAAAGCAAAGUAGGUCAGGUAGGGGGAAGAGUAACUCCCCGCUCUGGGCAGCUGGAAAAUGUCAGGUUGGAAAAAGUAUAAUGCAGGAAGUUCCUAGAAUUUGGGGGCUGGAAUUAGGUGAUCUCUGAGGUCCCUUCCAACCUAAGCCAUUCUAUGACUUAUCCGGAAACCCUGAAAGCAAAAUGUUGGGAUGCCAUGCUGGGUGUCCCAUGAAGAGGAGCCAGGAGCAGAUGACCUCGGUGCUGCAAAAAUGAAGUCAUGACAUGGUGGCUGACCCCUGACAGCCUGCUGCCUACCUGUCCCCAACAUACCAUUAAUAAUUUGAGCACCAAAACUCAGCCACAUAAUUAGCAGAAGAAACUGAGGGCUCCUGCUGCAAGGCUCGGAUUAAAUUAGCCAUUUAUGGAUUUCUGAAAGAAAGGAGACUAAAAUGUUUUAUAGUGUAGUUAAAAGAUCCAUUGAAUGAUUCCCUCAUGUUGAACAUUUCCUAAUGUCAGAAGGAGGGUGGAUGACAUAGAAAUCAUAAAUCCAAUCGAGAAGUGUUAAAAAUCACUUUACUCUGCCAACUUACUAGAAAUUCAAUAAAACGGUAUGGGAGA